CUGUACUCAAGCACAUCAAAAGCCGAAUAAGGAGCACACAGUCACAAGAACACCUGGAAGCAUUCAUGCUUAUGUCAACAGAAAAAGACAUCCUCAUGUCCCUCGACAAUGACUUGGUCGUCGACAGAGUUGCAGAAAAAAGCAACCUACUAAAGAAACUGCUGAUCCCCCAACAUUAGGUUUACAAACCGCCUCAGACAAUCUUGUUUAUUUCUUUUAGGUCCCUUAAACUGCAGCCUAAUAAACAGCUGAUUUUUGUGUGUGUACUGUUUUAUGAUGUCCCAUGUGUUAAGACAUCUGAGGAGUGUCCUCCCUCUUCUCUUCUCUGAUUUCUAAUAACUAAUAGUACUGUAUUAUUUUAUCUGAUCUCCCCCCCCCCCCCCGUUGACAUGACAUGUGGCUGGACUGGGUCAGAUUCCAGGGCUGAAUUUUAGUCCCAGUCCGCCCCUGGAUGAGCUCAUCGCUUGGAAGUCAGUUAGUGUGCGCAGAGUGAGGACAGAGGACAGUCUGCAGACGGAGAGCUGCUGUGGGAUUCUACAGGAAUAUAUCCAACACUUACAAUAUGGGUUUGUCCCGGGAGAGGGACGCGGAGACCCCCCUGUCACUCAUCCUGCCGCGGCUCUACCUGGGGGCGCAGAGGGACGUGGCGCAGCUUUGUGAAAGAGCACCGGCCCUCCAUUUCCCACAACUUCAACUCCCAGCAGCAGCCGGACCCUCAUCUGCCCUCAGCAGAGGAGCAGGGGCCACACAGAGACUCAGCAGAGGAGCAGGGGCCACACAGAGACUCAGCAGAGGAGCAGGGGCCACACAGAGACAGACCCCCGCAGAGGCCCUCACACUCACAGCUGUCAGGGACACUUGGUUGCAGCCAGCAAGCAAAGUGCAGCUCCACACCUCAAACUUUCCACAGCAGUGAGCUGGGUACCACACGGCCCCCCAGGCACAGGGAGCAGCCCCCCCCACCCUUGAAGUGCAGCACAUCAGAGAUGAAGGAGCAGGGGCUGCUCAACAAGCUGCUGGGCUGGGGGGAGAGGAUCCUGCUGGGGGGGCUGUUUGUCCCCCCCAGUUAAGAUGGGACAGCCUGCGCUGCCGUACAGGUGCUGAGGGUGUUGUUUCUGUUUGUGGCAGCAUGGUGUCAUGAGAGAGAACUCCUGUCUCCUAUUUAUUUAUUGCAGAACUGAAAAUAAGGAUUAUACUAUACUAAUAAUAAACACCUACACAAUUGCAUCGUGUUGGCAAAAUGUGACUUUUAUAAGAUUCAUUUAUUUAAAAAGACUUGUUGCCCACUUGCGUGAGAUGUGUUUACG